rnacentral:rRNA from 1 species
AUUGAACGCUGGCGGCAUGCCUUACACAUGCAAGUCGAACGGCAGCACGGGUGCUUGCACCUGGUGGCGAGUGGCGAACGGGUGAGUAAUACAUCGGAACAUGUCCUGUAGUGGGGGAUAGCCCGGCGAAAGCCGGAUUAAUACCGCAUACGAUCUACGGAUCAAAGCGGGGGACCUUCGGGCCUCGCGCUAUAGGGUUGGCCGAUGGCUGAUUAGCUAGUUGGUGGGGUAAAGGCCUACCAAGGCGACGAUCAGUAGCUGGUCUGAGAGGACGACCAGCCACACUGGGACUGAGACACGGCCCAGACUCCUACGGGAGGCAGCAGUGGGGAAUUUUGGACAAUGGGCGAAAGCCUGAUCCAGCAAUGCCGCGUGUGUGAAGAAGGCCUUCGGGUUGUAAAGCACUUUUGUCCGGAAAGAAAUCCUUGGCCCUAAUACGGUCGGGGGAUGACGGUACCGGAAGAAUAAGCACCGGCUAACUACGUG